GACCAGUCAGACACACAAGGCGGAAAACAGAUUGAGUUCUCAACAUUCUACUUUUAGGACCAUUUUUUUGACCAAUUUCAAAUUGGCUAUUAUUGACAUAUUAUAUAUCAAAUUUAUUGCCCAAGAAUAGAGGAAUUCAAAAAAAAUAAAAUCAGAAGCAGCAGACAAUUAUUUAACUUGAAAAAAUGAGGUCAAACACACUUACCCCUAAUAUAGAUACUUCGAUUUUCCGGUCGCGCAAGAUUUUUUUUGGUUACCGGAACCGGUAGUAUUCGUGCGGCAGUAUUUAAGCCGAAAGCAGUGGUGAUUUCGUUCCAGUCUGGUUUUGUCUUCAAAAUCAGACACAAAAGGAUAAUCGGAGCCCUUUGUUUGUUCAAGGAUCGGAUAUCAGUUAAUUCUUUGGAUUUAUAUCAGUGCUUUUCUAUCGUCUUCAUGGAGUUCCAGCGUGUUGAGCAUAGGGAUAAUGUGGGCGUGGCAGGCCUUGAUGUCGAUGUUGUUGACAAUAAGUUUCGAAGGCUGGCUGCCUGGUCGUGCGGUUUGCACGCUGGACUGUCGUUCGGACUUAUCGAUGGUCCCGGGUUCAAACCCUGCCCGCUCCCAUCCCCCGUCGUCCUGCGGGAGGUUUGGACUAGGAAGUAAUUAUCUUCAACUCUGAAGGAACAUCCGAAAUAAGUAAAACAUUUUACAAGGCAUAUGACUGAUGUGAAGAACUUUUGCAGGAAGAUUACCUGCAGCUGGCACCUAGUUGCACCCUACUUGGAUAAAAAAAUUUCUAUCGAUGCUGCUGGCAAAAAGACACCUAUCCAAGUCCUAAGACAGCACUGAACGACCUAGUAUGGUGAAGAAGUUGCGACCUGAAGGUGAUGUUGAGGCUACUGAAAGGCCAGGUAACACAGAACAACACUGUGCUUGUUGUUGCAGAAAAGCGGUUAGUCUUUUAAGGUAAUAACUUUUACAUUUUCUUUUGUAAAUUCAUUUUUAUAGUUUCAAAACAAUUCCUUUUUAGGUGUCUCAACCCUUUUGACAUUUAUUAUAUUUAUUAACAGGGCUUUUUGGCAAGAUGUUGACUGGACCGUGGAUGACACUAAUCUACAAAAUGAAAGAGAUGAAACAUUUUAAAGAUACCAUUUAUGCAGCUAUUAUAUUUAUUCUCUUGUUUUCUAGAUCUCUCAUGUGAAGGUCUGCAUUGACAAACUAAAGCCACUAAAGGCCAUUGUGGAUUCUCCAGAGAAUCUCCUUUCAAUACUAACUGAUUGCUUUGGCCAGACUCUGGAUACUGAAGAUCUCGUUCUGAAAACCCUGAGAAAUGUGACUUGAUGAAGUAUUUAUCGAGAUCACUAAAGAACUUGCUGAAGGUUUUUGUAAGGUGCUACAGAGACAGUACUUCAAUUGAUAAUUUCCAACAACAAACAAAUCCAUUAUGUGCUUACCCAUCAAAUACAAAACAGAUAGGGUACACCCAAACAAUGUUCAUCUUCAAACAAUCAUGCAUGAUCCUCGCAAGCUUUGGAUACUGACGUACAUUUGCAAACGCACUCAGACUGAUGACAUCAAGAAAUCUAUAUUUGUUAUUUACAUUAUAUGUAAAU